rnacentral:piRNA from 1 species
UCCAUUUUGAUUUUGGCAUAA